AGUGAACGCUGGCGGUAGGCCUACACAUGCAAGUCGAACGGCAGCACAGUAAGAGCUUGCUCUUACGGGUGGCGAGUGGCGGACGGGUGAGGAAUACAUCGGAAUCUACUUUUUCGUGGGGGAUAACGUAGGGAAACUUACGCUAAUACCGCAUACGACCUACGGGUGAAAGCAGGGGAUCUUCGGACCUUGCGCGAUUGAAUGAGCCGAUGUCGGAUUAGCUAGUUGGCGGGGUAAAGGCCCACCAAGGCGACGAUCCGUAGCUGGUCUGAGAGGAUGAUCAGCCACACUGGAACUGAGACACGGUCCAGACUCCUACGGGAGGCAGCAGUGGGGGAUAUUGGACAAUGGGCGCAAGCCUGAUCCAGCCAUACCGCGUGGGUGAAGAAGGCCUUCGGGUUGUAAAGCCCUUUUGUUGGGAAAGAAAAGCAGCAGGUUAAUACCCCGCUGUUCUGACGGUACCCAAAGAAUAAGCACCGGCUAACUUCGUG
rnacentral:rRNA from 1 species